rnacentral:rRNA from 1 species
GUGGGGAAUUUUGGACAAUGGGCGCAAGCCUGAUCCAGCCAUGCCGCGUGCAGGAUGAAGGCCUUCGGGUUGUAAACUGCUUUUGUACGGAACGAAACGGCUCUUUCUAAUAAAGAGGGCUAAUGACGGUACCGUAAGAAUAAGCACCGGCUAACUACGUGCCAGCAGCCGCGGUAAUACGUAGGGUGCGAGCGUUAAUCGGAAUUACUGGGCGUAAAGCGUGCGCAGGCGGUGAUGUAAGACAGAUGUGAAAUCCCCGGGCUCAACCUGGGAACUGCAUUUGUGACUGCAUCGCUGGAGUGCGGCAGAGGGGGAUGGAAUUCCGCGUGUAGCAGUGAAAUGCGUAGAUAUGCGGAGGAACACCGAUGGCGAAGGCAAUCCCCUGGGCCUGCACUGACGCUCAUGCACGAAAGCGUGGGGAGCAAACAGGAUUAGAUACCCGGGUAGUCC